rnacentral:rRNA from 1 species
UACGUAGGGGGCGAGCGUUGUCCGGAAUUAUUGGGCGUAAAGGGUUCGUAGGCGGUUAAAUAAGUCAGGUGUGAAAGCCAUAGGCUCAACCUAUGUAAGCACUUGAAACUGUAUAACUUGAGUUAAGGAGAGGAAAGUGGAAUUCCUAGUGUAGCGGUGAAAUGCGUAGAUAUUAGGAGGAACACCAGUGGCGAAGGCGGCUUUCUGGACUGAUACUGACGCUGAGGAACGAAAGCGUGGGGAGCAAACAGGAUUAGAUACCCUGGUAGUCCCUGAGCGGGCU